UAAAAGUGGGCGGCAAACACCGCCUCUUGCUUGCCAGAGGCUGGGUUACGGCACGUACCGGCGUUUUCCACUUCCGCUUCUGUAUGGCGACAAAAGCUCGCUUGGGUGUCGCUGCUGGCUCCAUGCUGCUCACCGCUCCUUAUGCCAUUCGCUGAUCACUGCUGGUGGCUCUCGUGUAGCAUCACUCGCUCCGCUUCAUGCUGUGCUGUCCUGGACUGUUUGACUGGUGCUGAGUCUAGCGGAUUGAUGUCCCGGUGGUGGUGUCCCUCUUGUGUUGUGUUUUGCUCCCCUUUUAGUUGUUUCCUGCAUGGCAUUCCUGGGAUUCCCCUUUUUGUUGCACCAUCUGGCACCGUGAGUCUCAGCCCUGAUUGGUUGCCCCUUGAUUGUCAUAUAGUCAGUGACAUUUUAUGUAUAUAUA